AGUUGCUUUACCCACCUCAGGAAAACUUGAAUGCAGCUCUGCGGAUCACCUGUCUCAGGUUCUCUUUGGCGGUAGCCCCACAUAAAUGACCACAGGGGAUUGCAUGUUAUCCUGAGAAAAGCUCGGAGCAGGAGUCCUUCUUUCUAUGCUGUGAUGGAUGGAGCCUGUGCUGCUCUCAGAAGGAUGCCUCUUCCUGCUGGGGCAAAAUGUCACGUGGCCCGCUUCAGUGCAAGUCCAAGUUUACCUAUGCUGCUGCUCUGUUUUGCUAGGUUACUGUUAAAAUGUUAAAAUGCUGAUGAAGACGGGCUUCUGUAGAAUCCUGCUGCUGCCUUAUGAAUACAAAAGGGAAUCCUAAACCAAGCUUUAGUAUGAGAUGAGGAGUUGGAGCUCUGCUCCCUGGUGUUUGAGUCACCCAAGUACUGUGCUGGAGAGCUGGUAGUUACUGCUGCUGCUGGAAGUGAUUUCUUUGCUGCUGAGCUCUGUGGUUGUAACUCCUCCCUCACCUCUGUGACUGAAGCUGGCGCUCAGUCUUCAUGUAAUUACAGAAUAUCCAACGUUGGACAGGUGCCAAGAAGAUGGUAUAAUCAAAUCAAGAUGUGAUGUAGAGCAGGGUACCCAGAUGGCUCUGGAAUAUUUCCAAGCAGGAGACUCCACAGCCUCUGAGCAGCCUGUUUUAGUGCUCUGUCACCUGCACGGCACGGAAGUGCUUCUGGUGUUCCUAGGAUCACUUAUGUCGGAAAAGACCCUUAAGAUCAAGUCGAGCCAUCAUCCUAAUGCUAAACUUGUCUCUUGUCCCUUCACUGGGCACAAAUGGGAAGGCUCCAUGGUCUUUAUACCCUUAUCAAGUGUUUAAAAAUAUUGAUAGAAUCGCCCCCAGCCCUCUCCCCAGCUGUCUCAAUCUGUCCUCAUAUGAAGGGGCUUCCAGUUCCUUCAUCACUGGCUGCUACUGGAUUGUCACUGCACUUGGCAAUUCCCCGUUGAAUAUCAAGAGGUUCAUGUCAGCCAUUUUCCUAGGCUGUCAAGGUCAUCUUGGGAUGACCCUCCGGUGUUUUUGAUGCCUGUCCCAUCAUCUAGGUCAUUAAUAAAGAUUUUGAAC
ensembl:lncRNA